GCCAUAUGCACUGAAGCAUGCUUAUAGACCCAGCUACUCUGGAGGCUGAGGCAGGAGGAUUGCUUGAGCCCAGGAGUUCUGGGAUGUAGUGUGCUGUGCCCAUCAGGUGUCCUCACUAAGUCUGACAUCAUUAUGGUGACCUCCCACGAGUGGAGGGACUACCUUCUUGUCUAACUGGCUCAGGUCAGAAAUGGAGCAGGUCAAAACUACUGAUAAGUAGUGGGAUCACACCUGUGAAUAGCCCCUGCACUCCAGCCUGGGCAACACAGUGAGACCCCGUCUCUA
rfam:Otolemur garnettii contig184732, whole genome shotgun sequence.